rnacentral:rRNA from 1 species
GAUGAACGCUGGCGGCGUGCCUAAUACAUGCAAGUCGAGCGAACGGACGAGAAGCUUGCUUCUCUGAUGUUAGCGGCGGACGGGUGAGUAACACGUGGAUAACCUACCUAUAAGACUGGGAUAACUUCGGGAAACCGGAGCUAAUACCGGAUGAUAUUUUGAACCGCAUGGUUCAAAAGUGAAAGACGGUCUUGCUGUCACUUAUAGAUGGAUCCGCGCUGCAUUAGCUAGUUGGUAAGGUAACGGCUUACCAAGGCAACGAUGCAUAGCCGACCUGAGAGGGUGAUCGGCCACACUGGGACUGAGACACGGCCCAGACUCCUACGGGAGGCAGCAGUAGGGAAUCUUCCGCAAUGGACGAAAGCCUGACGGAGCAACGCCGCGUGAGUGAAGAAGGUCUUCGGGUCGUAAAGCUCUGUUGUUAGGGAAGAACAAGUAUGGAAGUAACUGGCGCUACCGUGACGGUACCUAACGAGAAAGCCACGGCUAACUACGUG